UAGAUACCCCCGGUAGUCCACGCCCUAAACGAUGUUCACUAGUCGUCGGAAUGCUAGUCAUUUCGGUGAUGCACUUAACAGAUUAAGUGAACCGCCUGGGGAGUACGGUCGCAAGAUUAAAACUCAAAGGAAUAGACGGGGACCCGCACAAGUGGUGGAGCAUGUGGUUUAAUUCGAAGAUACGCGAAGAACCUUACCUAGCCUUGACAUUGAUUGAACGGACCAGAGAUGGACCGGUGCCCUUCGGGGAACAUGAAAACAGGUGCUGCACGGCUGUCGUCAGCUCGUGUCGUGAGAUGUUGGGUUAAGUCCCGCAACGAGCGCAACCCUCGUCAAUAGUUGCCAGCAGGUUAAGCUAGGCACUCUAUUGAGACUGCCUUCGUAAGGAGGAGGAAGGUGAGGACGACGUCAAGUCAUCAUGGCCCUUAUGGCUAGGGCUACACACGUGCUACAAUGGGGCGUACAGAGAGUUGCGAUACCGCGAGGUGGAGCCAAUCUCAUAAAGCGUCUCUCAGUUCGGAUUGAAGUCUGCAACUCGACUUCAUGAAGCUGGAAUCACUAGUAAUCGUAGAUCAGCAAUGCUACGGUGAAUACGUUCCCGGGUCUUGUACUCACCGCCCGUCACACCAUGGGAGUUGAUUUCACCCGAAAUUGGGAAGCUAACCUUCGGGAGGCUACCACUUACGGUGGAAUUAGCGGCUGGGGUGAAGUCGUAACAAGGUA
rnacentral:rRNA from 1 species